rnacentral:rRNA from 1 species
GAGUUUGAUCCUGGCUCAGGAUAAACGCUGGCGGCAUGCCUAACACAUGCAAGUCGAACGGAGCGCCUUGGAAGGAGACUUCGGUCAACGGAAGAGGAGGCUUAGUGGCGGACGGGUGAGUAACGCGUGAGGAACCUGCCUCAGAGAGGGGGAUAACACACCGAAAGGUGUGCUAAUACCGCAUAACAUAUGAGAGGGGCAUCCCUUUCAUAUCAAAGAUUUAUUGCUUUGAGAUGGCCUCGCGUCCAAUUAGCUAGUUGGUGAGGUAACGGCCCACCAAGGCGACGAUUGGUAGCCGGACUGAGAGGUUGAACGGCCACAUUGGGACUGAGACACGGCCCAGACUCCUACGGGAGGCAGCAGUGGGGAAUAUUGCACAAUGGGGGGAACCCUGAUGCAGCAAUGCCGCGUGAAGGAUGAAGGUUUUCGGAUUGUAAACUUCUUUUGUACGGGACGAAGAAAGUGACGGUACCGUAAGAAUAAGCCACGGCUAACUACGUGCCAGCAGCCGCGGUAAUACGUAGGUGGCAAGCGUUAUCCGGAUUUACUGGGUGUAAAGGGCGAGUAGGCGAGAUUGCAAGUCAGAUGUGAAAACUAUGGGCUCAACCGAUAGAGUGCAUUUGAAACUGCAGUUCUUGAGUGAUGGAGAGGCAGGCGGAAUUCCCGGUGUAGCGGUGGAAUGC